UCCAGAGGGUGCAAGCGUUAAUCGGAGUUACUGGGCGUAAAGGGCGCGUAGGCGGAUGUUUAAGUUGAUUGUGAAAUCCCUGGGCUUAACCUAGGAAUUGCAGUCAAUACUGGACGUCUUGAGUAUGGUAGAGGAAAGUGGAAUUCUCGGUGUAGUGGUUAAAUACGUAGAUAUCGAGAAGAACACCAGUGGCGAAGGCGACUUUCUGGACCAAUACUGACGCUGAGGCGCGAAAGCGUGGGGAGCAAACAGG
rnacentral:rRNA from 1 species